rnacentral:tRNA from 1 species
GCCUGGGUGGCUCAGUGGUUGAGCAUCUGCCUUUGGCUCAGGGCAUGAUCCUGGAAUCCUGGGAUCGAGUCCCACAUCAGGCU